CUGGCGGCGUGCCUAAUACAUGCAGGUCGAACGGUCUUUCUAUGGAAGCUUGCUUCCACUGAGAAGAUAGUGGCGAACGGGUGAGUAACACGUGGGUAACCUGCCCAUAAGAGGGGGAUAACAUCCGGAAACGGGUGCUAAUACCGCAUAGUUUUCUUGAUCGCAUGAUCGGGAAAGGAAAGACGGCCUUUGUGCUGUCGCUCAUGGAUGGACCAGCGGCGUAUUAGUUAGUUGGUGAGGUAACGGCUCACCAAGACGAUGAUACGUAGCCGACCUGAGAGGGUGAUCGGCCACAUUGGGACUGAGACACGGCCCAAACUCCUACGGGAGGCAGCAGUAGGGAAUCUUCCGCAAUGGACGAAAGUCUGACGGAGCAACGCCGCGUGAGUGAAGAAAAGGUUUUCGGAUCGUAAAACUCUGUUGUCAGAGAAGAACAAGUUGGAGAGUAACUGCUCCAGCCUUGACGGUAUCUGACCAGAAAGCCACGGCUAACUACGUGCCAGCCGCAGC
rnacentral:rRNA from 1 species